rnacentral:rRNA from 1 species
CCAAUAGCGUAUAUUAAAGUUGUUGCAGUUAAAAAGCUCGUAGUUGAAUUUCGGGAUUCUACCGUUGGUCGGGCUAUCCAGUCUGUACUAGCGUGUAGAAUUUCUACCUUCUGGGGAACUAUCAUGUUAUUAAUUUAGCGUGAUGGGAAUCCAGGACCUUUACCUUGAAAAAAUUAGAGUGUUCAAAGCAGGCUUACGUCUGAAUACAUUAGCAUGGAAUAAUAAAAUAGGACGGUGGUCCUGUUUUGUUGGUUUCUGAAUCACCGUAAUGAUUAAUAGGGAUAGUUGGGGGCAUUAGUAUUCAAUUGUCAGAGGUGAAAUUCUUGGAUUUAUUGAAGACUAACUUCUGCGAAAGCAUUUGCCAAGGAUGUUUUCAUUAAUCAAGAACGAAAGUUAGGGGAUCGAAGACGAUCAGAUACCGUCGUAGUCUUAACCAUAAACUAUGCCGACUAGGGAUCGGACGAUGUUAAAUAUUAUUGACUCGUUCGGCGCCUUACG